rnacentral:rRNA from 1 species
GACAGAGGGUGCAAACGUUGCUCGGAAUUACUGGGCGUAAAGCGCGUGUAGGCGGUUACGCGAGUCGGGUGUGAAAGCCCGGGGCUCAACCCCCGGACGUGCACUCGAUACUACGUAGCUGGAGUACUGUAGAGGAUGGCGGAAUUCCCGGUGUAGAGGUGAAAUUCGUAGAUAUCGGGAGGAACACCAGUGGCGAAGGCGGCCAUCUGGACAGUGACUGACGCUGAGACGCGAAAGCGUGGGUAGCAAACAGG